CGGCCGCGGUCACCAGUUAAGUUAAUACCUUGCUUGUUUUGACGUUACCGACAGAAUAAGCACCGGCUAACUUCGUGCCAGCAGCCGACGGUUAAUAACGGAAGGGUGACAAGUCGUUUAAGUCGGUAAUUACGUGGGACGUAAAGCGCGCGUAGGUUGGUUUAGUUAAGGUUAGGAGUAGAAACGGCCCCGGGCUACCAACCGUAGGGAACUGUCUUUACAAAACGUGGACAAGCUAGAGUUAGUGGCAGGAGGGUGGUAGGUAACUUUCCUGUGUAGCGGUAGAAUGCGUAGAUAGUAGGAAGGAACCACCAGGUGGACGAAGGCCGACCCACCGUGGGACUAAUACUGACACUGGAGGUGACGAAGCGGUGGGGAGCAAACAGGAUUAGAUACCCUGGUAGUCCACGCCG
rnacentral:rRNA from 1 species